AUCCAACUGAAGAGUUCCAAAUACGACGGAAUGUGCGUCUUGUAU
rnacentral:hammerhead_ribozyme from 1 species